AACGCACAUUGCGCCCGGUAGUAAUCUGCCGGGCAUGCCUGUCCGAGCGUCAUUUCAACCCUCGACCCGCUAUUUCGGUAGCCGGAUCGGUGUUGGAGCACUACGGUGUAAUACCCGUAGGCCCCGAAAUGAAGUGGCGGUCCCGCCGCGGCGCCCCCAUGCGUAGUAACUUUUAGUCUCGCAUCGGGUCCCGGCGGAGGCCUGCCGUCAAUCCUAUUUUCUUAACAUGGUUUGACCUCGGAUCAGGUAGGGUUACCCGCUGAACUUAA
rnacentral:misc_RNA from 1 species